rnacentral:rRNA from 1 species
UAGGGAAUCUUCCACAAUGGACGCAAGUCUGAUGGAGCAACGGCCGCGUGAGUGAAGAAGGUUUUCGGACCGUAAAGCUCUGUUGUUGGUGAAGAAGGAUAGAGGUAGUAACUGGCCUUUAUUUGACGGUAAUCAACCAGAAAGUCACGGCUAACUACGUGCCAGCAGCCGCGGUAAUACGUAGGUGGCAAGCGUUGUCCGGAUUUAUUGGGCGUAAAGCGAGCGCAGGCGGAAGAAUAAGUCUGAUGUGAAAGCCCUCGGCUUAACCGAGGAAUUGCAUCGGAAACUGUUUUCUUGAGUGCAGAAGAGGAGAGUAGAACUCCAUGUGUAGCGGUGGAAUGCGUAGAUAUAUGGAAGAAUACCAGUGGCGAAGGCGGCUCUCUGGUCUGCAACUGACGCUGAGGCUCGAAAGCAUGGGUAGCGAACAGGAUUAGAUACCCUGGUAGUCCAUGCCGUAAACGAUGAGUGCUAAGUGUUGGGAGGCUUCCGCCUCUCAGUGCUGCAGCUAAUGCAUUAAGCACUCCGCCUGGGGGAGUACGACCGCAAGGUUGAAAC